AGAAUUGACCCAUGUUAAUGUUUUGAGAUUUGAUCUUUUUGCAAGUUUUUUGGUUGUUUUUGUUAUGUAUAUUUUGAUUUUGAUGCCUGUGAUGGUGUUAAAUAUACUUUGAGAGAUGCGUCUCUACGAAAAAAAAAUCAACUCUGAGGCAUUUUUUCUCUCUCUUUACACAUCUGGUUUCUCUUAUUUUACUGUGAUCUUUGAGCUUAUUAAUGAUUUGGUUUUGGUAGCUCUUCUAGCUUCUGAUUUGAUUUGGUUGCCUGAUUUAUGCAAGUGAUGAUGAAAAGACAGGGACAUCAGAAUCUCCUUGUUAGGAGAUGAGAAUGAUGACUAAUGUCUAGAUGGGAAUCUCUCUGAUGCAUAUCUCACAGACUGUUUAUCAACUUUGAUCUAGUAUUUUCUGUUUUGCUUCGUUUUGAUACUCUUUUGGUGUCUUUUGACUAGUGCAAGUGACGAUGAAUAGACAGGGACAUCAGAAGUUCUAUAAUGAUGACUAAUGUCUAGAUGGGAAUCUCUCUGAUGCACAUAACUAAGAAUCCUUUGCUCAUUAUUUAACAUUUUUUUGCUUGGGUAUUUAGUUGGUUUUGCCAAUGAUGUGCCUAAACAAUUGCACGUAUUAUCAGAUUUUUCAGUGAUGAAUAUCACUUAUGUCUGAGGCAAACCGUGAAUACUGUCUACAACAAAUGUUUGUUCUGUUCUAAUCCCUAAUCAUUUAUUUGGAUUUCAUUUGAGCUCUAUUUGCAGGAAGAAUCACUUGCAAGAAAUAAAGUAGGACGUCACAAACAUGAAGCUGGACUCAAGCCAGCAGAAGAUUGUGAAGAUUAGAUGAGAAAUUUAAGGUUAUGUCUAGAUUUUGUAUGUGCUUCAUUUGAAUUGUAAAACAGACCCUUUAGUUGAACCUCUUCUCUAAAUAAAGAUUCAUUUGUUUCUUGAAUGUAAUCUUUCAAAUUCAAUGAAGUAUUUGAUAC